rnacentral:rRNA from 1 species
GAUGAACGCUGGCGGCGUGCCUAAUACAUGCAAGUCGAACGCAGGAGAGCUAGCUUGCUUGAUCGAAGGAGUGGCGAACGGGUGAGUAAUACAUAAGCAACCUACCCACGAAGACUGGGAUAAUCUCUGGAAACGGGGACUAAUACCGGAAAGGUAAUCGGAAGGGCACUUCUGGUUAGUAAAGGUCAAAAACACUGGCGGAUGGGCUUAUGGCGCAUUAGUUGGUUGGUGAGGUAACGGCACACCAAGACGAUGAUGCGGAGCCGGGCGGGGGGGGAGACCGGCUGCAUUGGGAACGCGACCCGGCCCAGUCUCCUACGGGAGGCAGCAGUAGGGAAUUCUCGGCAAGGGAGGCAACCCGGACCGCGCCACGCCGCGUGAGUGAAGACGGCCUUCGGGUUGUAAUGCUCUGUUGUAAGGGAAGAACUGUAGAUAGAGAAUAUCUAAGUGACGGUACCUUACCAGAAAGCCACGGCUAACUACGUG